GAGAUCUUCAGUUUGCUUUUUUAGCUCCUUAUUCUGUUGCUCCAGCUCUUCAACCUGCUUCUUGAGUUGUUCAUUGGUCUCUUGAGCCUGGAGAAGGUCUUCAGCAACCUUCUUGGAUUCCGCUUGCACUUGGGCCAAUUCAGCAGCUACUUUUCCCUUCUCUUCGUUGGCCUCGGCGAGAUCAGCUAUGGCGUCGUCCCUUGCCUUUUCC
rnacentral:lncRNA from 1 species